AGGCCAUGUGAUAGGCUGUUAGGGAACCUAUGGCUGGGCUGCUUUUGUGUCAUGCGCUUUCGUGAUCCAAUCAGAUGUCAGCUCUGAAGUUUUUUGGCAGGGAAAAUUCAAACAGGUGUUGGGCUCGUGGUGGCCCGCUUGUCCUGCAUGAGUGCGGCUUGGUACCUAAUUCAGUAUGGGCCUGGAAAGUUCUAUGAGAGAAUAUGGCCUGUCUGUUGUGACCUCCAGGAAGUGAGAUGGAAGGCAGGAGGGGGAGAGGAUGAACUCUUCAGACACAGCUGUGAUGCUCAACGGUUGCUACCUGUGAGUCACGGGUGGUUUCACAGAGGUGCUGACAUUUGAGAUGAGAAAAUGGAGGCCACAGAGAAAUUAUCACCUCAUGCUGUUCUCUGGGUAAAUGGGAAACUAAGGCUGGCCCAGACACCAUUGGAAGGAGGUCAUGGAUGAGACUGUAUUAUGAGUAUAAAAAGAAGAGGAACAUUGGAAAUCCCAAGGACAUUCUGGCUGUAGCCUUGAGAGAAUUAUUUUAUUUCUCCAAACCUAUUCUUUCUUAUCUAAACAGUAGGAUAAUUAUUCCUUAUUGGAAGCUUCAAUGCAGGGACCGGGUGAACUCAUAUAAGU
rnacentral:lncRNA from 1 species